GGGCCUGCAGUCCGGGAUGAAAGAACUCAAAUUGAUUUUUACCUGGUGAACUGAGAUCAUUUGCUUCAAUUGGGGUCGAGCUGAAGUAUUUUAAAUAAUAAUGAGAAUCAUUGACCGAAGAUGAACACAAGCCUUGGAUUUAAUUAAUGUAAUAUUACAACCACUCCUCGUUUAGCAACAACCUCGGUUAGCAAUCAUUCACAAGUACAACGUUACAAAAAAUUCAUGCACAUUUACAACCAAAUUUUGUACACCUGAUAACGCACACCGGAGUGAGAGAGAUUUUCAAAGUAGAAUGUAGAAAAUACUGUAAAUAAUGUCCACUUUGUGAAGGAUAAAAGGCAUUAAGUAGAGAAGGCUGAAGUAAAGUCGGAAGUACAGUCAUGGUCACACCUAGACUACUGUGACUUUCACUUAGUGACCAUUUUGCUUAACGACCUGGAGUUUGGAAUGAAACUUGGUCUCUAUUACUUGCUGUGUGUGAAGGCCCUGUUUAGCCCCUGUUUAGGUCCUGUUUAUUCCCUGUUUAGGCCCUGUUUAGGCCCUGUUUAUUCCCUGUUUAGGCCCUGUUUAUGCCCUGUUUAGGUCCUGUUUAGGUCCUGUUUAUUCCCUGUAUAGGCCCUGUUUAUGCCCUGUUUAGGCCCUGUUUAUGCCCUGUUUAUGCCUUGUUUAGGCCCUGUUUAGGUCCUGUUUAGGCCCUGUUUAUGCCCUGUUUAGGUCCUGUUUAGGCCCUGUUUAGGCCCUGUUUAUGCCCUGUUUAGGCCUUGUUUAGGCCCUGUUUAUUCCCUGUUUAUUCCCUGUUUAGGCCCUGUUUAUUCCCUGUUUAUGCCCUGUUUAUGCCCUGUUUAGGCCCUGUUUAGACCCUGUUUAUUCCCUGUUUAUGCCCUGUUUAGGCCCUGUUUAUUCCCUGUUUAGGCCCUGUUUAUUCCCUGUUUAGGCCCUGUUUAUGCCCUGUUUAGGCCCUGUUUAUACCCUGUUUAUGCCCUGUUUAGGCCCUGUUUAUGCCCUGUUUAUUCCCUGUUUAUGCCCUGUUUAGGCCCUGUUUAUGUCUUGUUUAUUCCCUGUUUAGGCCCUGUUUAUGCCCUGUUUAGGCCCUGUUUAUGCCCUGUUUAGGCCCUGUUUAUGCCCUGUUUAUGCCCUGUUUAUGUCCUGUUUAUGCCCUGUUUAGACGGUUUGGACUGUCUCAAAGGCCGGUUCUCUGGUGCUCCAUAAAUGUGACACUCCUCAUUCCCCUGUUAUUUUAGUCAUUCCUUUCCCUAAUUGAUCGUCAGUCUGCUAGUUUGUCAUCCACUCCCACUCAGAUUUCUCAGUCAUUUCCAGGACAUGUUUGUAGCUUCUCAUAGCUUCUGUCCAGCCCUCCCCUCCUGUCUCUUAAUUCCUCCCUGUCUUAAGAAUGCCUGGCACAGACCUGAUGUUUAUUCAGCAAUUCAAACAUCACAACCAUCUCCUGUUUCUUUCCUAACACCCGUUCUGAGUGCAAACCGAUUUUAUGUUUUUAUGCAUUCCAAUAAAUUUUUUCUCAUUCUGCUUAA